rnacentral:rRNA from 1 species
UUAAAUUUUAUUUAUUAAUUUUAUAUAUUUUUUAUUAAAAUAUUAAAAAUAAUUAUAAAUUAAAAAGUUUUAGUAUUGUUUAAAGAAAAAAUAAAUUUAAUAAUAGUUUAAUAGUAUUGUAAAAGAAAAUUGAAAUAAUUUGAAAAAAUAUUAUUUAAAAAGAAAAUUUAAUUUAUUGUACCUUGUGUAUCAGUGUUUAUUAAAUAAAAAAUAUUAAUUAUAUUUUUCUCGAUUUUAAAAGAGUUAAUAUGAUACAAAAGUUAAUGUAAUAAAAUUAUUUUUAAUAUCAUAUUAGAAAUGAAAUGUUAUUCGUUUUUAAAGGUAUCUAGUUUUUCAAGAAAUAAAUUUAAUUUAGAAAUUAUAAAUUUAUUUUAAAAAUUAUUUAAUAAAAUGAUUUAUAAUUUUAAUAUUUUAUGGGAUAAGCUAUAAAAUAAAUUAUUAAAAAUAAUAAAUAAAUUUAAUAAAUAUAUGCUUAGAAUUAGCAAUUGUUUAUAAUUAUGUUAUAAUUUAUUUUAUAAAUAAAAUUAUUUAUUAAAUUUUAAUUAUUUAUUGAAAUAUUAAUUUUAAUUUUUAAAAUUAAGUAAUUAUGAUAAAAUUAGUAUAUAUAUAUAUAAUUGUAAUAAUAAAUUUAAAUGAAAAGUUUAAAU